rnacentral:lncRNA from 1 species
AGCUGCCAAGCUGCCCGCGGGACAGUGGAGGAUCACCUCCGCUGACGCUAGCUGCCACGUUCAAGACAUACAGGCGACGGGUGCGCAGCAUCGCAGCUCCGUCCCCGGACCGAGCCGCCCUACCAACUCUCGUGACACUCAACUUCGAAUCGGCUGCGGAGCCAUCAACCGACGCGCCUGGAGUCGAGCCAGUCCUGCCUGGCGAGCCGGAACCGAGUCUAAGCGGGAUAGCCAUCCAAUAGUUGGGCUGGCUGACCAAAUCAAUGUUGGGCCGAGCUCACUCCCCACUAUCUCACAAGGCCCACAGGCUAC